rnacentral:lncRNA from 1 species
AUGAUUUUGAAACGAAGUCAAAAUUAAAACUGGCUCGCUGACUAAGAUUUCAUUGCAGAUGCGACCUUUUCCUGCACCGUUACACGAAACACGGCUUCAAAGCAUUUAAACAGCUGUACAGCGCAUGUAGCGUGCUAAAUUCGCGGAUCUUCAAUGGCAGUUAGGAGAUCAGACUCUCUACACGAGCACAAAAAAUGCCGAGUCUGAGCCGGCUCAGAAAGUAAUAAUAAUCUGGACCUAAUCGCUCGAGCACACGCACCUCCACGCGUCUGCUUGGCGUUGGACGCCUAACUGACUUCUACUGGGGAGAAUAACGAGGCGCGUCGCUGCCCUGAACCCCUUCGGGGAAAUAUUAAUACUACGAAAUGGACCGCGGGCUACGUUUUGGCAAUGGAAAGCUGUACUUACGUGACAACUAUCAUCCAUGGAUUAUUUAUGUGCAUGUGAAACUAAAAAAGAAUCGAAUGGUUCGCGGCGUCCCGUUGUCUGAACAGAAAGCGAAAAAAAAUACUCGCACCCUUCAAGAAAUUGAACUAAGACGAUCUAAGACGAACAGGUCAGCAUUUAUGGAUCAUUCGGGCAAAAGAAUCGAUUAAAAACGUGAAUGCGACAUUUAAUUUUACGCACGUUUAAAGAAACAAAAAUAUUUUCAACGGUUAUAGAGUAGA